ACACACGCACGUACCGGCUGCUCCGCAGGGACGUAGAGAGCCGCAGGCCCAAGGAGGGGCCGCCCCCGCCGAGCCCGCCCCUCCGCCCCAGCGCGGCCUGUCACCGCGGCCCCAGGUCGGGGGCUGCCGCAGGGCCCCCGGGGACCGGAGGGGCGCGCGAGGAGUCGGGCGCGGGCCUUGGGGCCAGGCCCGUCCCUCUUUCACAUGAAGCCCGGGCCGGGCGGGGUGGCGGGCGCGUGAAUCCUCGCAGCCGGCCGGGUCCUCCUGGCGCUCCUCGGCACUUCUAGCCGCUGCAACCCCGAGGCCCGCGGGAACUGGGCAGGAAAGGAGGAAGCCGCGGGCCCGCGUCGCUAGAGACCGGAGAAGAGGCGGGAGUGGCGACUCUGCGGACAGGGGCGCCGAGCGUCCUGGUCGUUGUUUUCGUCGCCGCCGCGGGCCGUGCAACCCCCGAACGCUGCGCCCAGCGGCCGCGGCACCCUCGUCAGGCGCCGCCGCUGAGGGCAGGCAGCCCGGCAGCCACUACACACGGACCCGUGACGUCGGGCGUAGCGCGGCGCACGUCACGGCCGCUCGCUCGUGCGCGCGCACCCCUCCGCCCGGCGGUAGCGGAACCCGCCGCGGGCGCGCGCCCGGCCCAGGGGAGUGGGUCGGCGCCUGCGCAGAGGCCCGCCACGCCCACACACAGGCCACCGCCCCCACCGGCCGGACGGCGCGGGGAUUCCCAGUCCUGGCUCCGCCCCGGCCUCGGCCCCGCCCCCGCCCCUGCCCCGGGGCAGCCUGUGCUGUUCCGUGUGCGCGGCGCAUACGCACCUGGGUUGUCUCGAGCCUGCGGUAGUGGCCAGAUCCCAGACAUCCGAGUAGAUCCCGUGAAAAGGUCUCCCACGUGGGCUGUGGACAGGGCCCAAGGGUAGCAGAGCUAGCAGAGGCAGUGACGGACUGUGUGGCAGGUCAUUUGCAAGGAGAAAAGCCGUCUGCCUCUUAAUUUGUGGCUCAAGUUUCAGAAUUUUUUUCCUGAGGGACUUUAGAAAUUACUUCAGGCUUGCCACCUAACCUUAAACCACCCCCUUGGAGACUGGCUAAGUGUUAUUUGUGUUUUCUGUUUAGUUCUUAUCACCAUCGAUACUUGGUUAUGACUGGUUGUGUACAUUGGUUAGCCCAGCAAGUAUUACUUCUCCAGCUUAACAGAUGUGGAAACUUAAGCCCAGAGACAUGAGUUGACACCCCACCCCCAAAGCUAGAGUCUAAAACCCUUUCUUUCGCUCCUCAUCUCCCACAGGAUAAAAUGCAAAUUAAUCAGACUAGUGGUGAGGCCCUCCGUGGUGUGACUAACCUGCAUCCCGACGUUUUCACCCUACUUUGAUCCAGAAAGCACCUUUCCGCCCCAUCUCUUCUCCUUUCCUUAAAUACCCCUUACAACUUCCUGUACCAUUCUUCCCUGUUCAGCUUCUUCUUGGUUUCUUCGUACAUUCUGGAUCCACCCCUUUCAUGCAUAUUCCAGACCACAUUUCCACUGGAGCAGUUGAAAUGAGAGAGAUGGGAAUGGGACUCACCCGAACCAGAGGCUAGCCUGGCUGAAGCUCAGCUGCACAGAGUCUGUCCUGAGAAGCAGAAUGCCACUGUCCCCUGGGCCCUCCAGACUGCCAAGGCUGCUCAGUUUCAGAGAGCAGGCUCCCUGUGGCCUCACACGCCGGCUGCCAGCUGGGCCAGGUAACUCUGGCCAGGCUGCACUGUGAAGAACACGAGAGUCGGCGGAGACCUGUGCCUGCUCUUCUCAGCCUCAAUGUCUGGAAGACAAAAAAAGGCAUCCUGCUCCCAAGAUUGUGGUGGAGGCCAGCAGGGUGACGCACAUGAAAGCCACUGGAGAUAGAUGGCACUUGUUCCCACCCACUGCCCACAACAGGCCCAGGACUGCCUCAGCCCCGGUGGACCCCAGAGCCAGCAGGCCCUUCAGAAUGGAAGGUGCCAAACACCAUCGGAAGGCGUGGUUCUUUUCAGAGAACCAGACUCUGAGACUGUGGCCUCCCACUAUGAGUCACCACCUCUGAUUCCUGAGGUCCCCUCCAGUCAUUGGCUCUCUCCCAAGCCAGCCAGCUGAUCAGCCUUGAGGACAGCAGAGUGUCUGCCAAGAGAGAUCUGUGAAGUUUCCCAUCACCGUGGCAGUCCACAAUGUGAAGCCCCUGAGGCCACCCUUCUCCAUGUGUCCCCCACACUGUCCCUGACCCUCCCACCAUCCUAGAAAACCAGCCUCCCAGGUCCUCUGUCAUGGAAGUAAUUUACAGCAAGGCAGAAAGAGCUGAAAGAUUUAUAAAUGUGUAAAAUUUACAAAGGUGUUUCUUUCUUUCUUUCUUUCUUUUUUUUUUUUUUUUUUUUUGAGGCAGAGUCUCACUCUGUUGCCCAGGCUGGAGUGCAGUGGCACAAUUUUGGCUCACUGCAACCUCCGCCUCCCGGGUUCAAGUGAUUCUCCUGCCUCAGCCUCCCAAGUAGCUGGGAUUACAGGUGCAUGCCACCACGCCUAGCUAAUUUUUGUAUUUUUAGUAGAGACAGAGUUUUUUGCCAUGUUGGCCAGGCUGGUCUUGAACUCCUGACCUCAGGUGAUCUGCCUGCCUCAGCCUCCCAAAGUGCUGGGAUUACAGGCGUGAGUCACCGUGCCCGGCCUACAGAGGUGUUUCUGAGUGGAGAAACCACUGCCUGGUUGGACUGACUGCCCAGUUCCACCACCCUGUGAGCCCAUGAGUGAGCUCACUGCACUUGUUAUAGACAUCCUACCACCAGCAGCCUGAUUUUGCUGAGUCCGUAGCUUACAACUCCAAUCUCAUGGCCCUGCCUUUCACCUCACUUGCUGCCUUAAAAACCUGCAGACUGAGGUGGCGUAGAAGCUGUGACAUCCCAGUACCCAGAAGUUCAUCUCACACCCAGAUCUUGGUUUCUAAAUGUCAUUCUCUACUAAAAGGGACCAGGGCUGGUACAGGAGAAGAGCAAGAGCUUGGAAUAUCUUAUACCUGAGAGUAAGGAAGUGCUCAGAGAAUCACAGGAGCACGUUAAAAGGACAUAGAAGUCAGUUUAAUGAGACUGCUUCUGGCCAAAGUUGGAACACAUCAAACAUUAAAACAAUGAUGGUAAUGGAUUAGAUUCCAUAGAAUAAAAUCCUUGAGGACAUAGUUAUAUAAACAUAACUGAGGAAGAAGGAAAAGCUCUCCCUAACAGAAUAAUACAACUAGUAAAUGGGAAAGGAAAGGAGUUAGGAAUUCACGCUGGGUAUUGAAACUAGUGGGUGAAAGCUCAAUGAAUCGGAUUCUUAGUCUCAAUGUCUCUCCUCUCAAUUUAGUAAUUAUAGUGGAGUAAUCAUGACUUUACAGUGGAGAAACCUGGCCAACACUACCUUCACAACACUAACAAAAACCUUGCAGACCUGCAGCCUAAGCUCCCAGAAGUCACCUGCUGAAAUGCCUUCAAAGAGUGACCUCUCUGCGUGUAGUGCUCAGCAACUUGGGCUCAGUGUCUAUUUCCACAAGCUACAAACCAGAAUACAGUGGAAUUCAGCCCAUAUGUGGUAAUUUAUCUACCAAUCAAGGACCUUUGACUCCAAAAAUUACCUUUUUUGUACAAGUGACUACCUGGUGUAGAGCUCAGACAUGGCUUUGAAUUUUUGCCAUGCUGUGUGAGCUCAGGCAAGCUGCUUCACCUCUUUGAGCUUCAAUCUUUUAUCUAUAAAAUGGGAAUAACAAUAACUUAAUGAAACAGCAAUUCCAGUGUUAGGUAUUUCCUCAGGAGAAAUGAAAACACGUUCACACAAAUAAUUGUACAUGUAUGUUUCUACACGCUUUAUUCAUAAUAGUCAUAAACAACCUAAAUAUUCAUCAACUGGUUAGCAGAGAAAAGAGCAAACCACUGAUGACAUGAACGAAUUUCAGAAGCACUGUGCUCAGUGAAAGAAGCCAGACAAAAAUUACAUCUUACAUAAAUUUCAUUUAUAUGAAAUUCUAGUGAAGGCAAAACAUAUAGCCAGGGGCCAAGAGGGGAGGAUGGUCUGCAAAGAGGCAGGAACUUCUUCCUGGGGUGAUGGGAAUAUUCUGUGUCAUGAACAUCGUGAUUGUGGUUACAAGACUAUACUUUUGUCAAAACUCAUCAAAUUGUACACCUAAAAUGGAUGCAUUAAGCCUCAAUACAGCCAAUAAAAGAUACCUACGUUACAGUAUCUUCUGAGGAGUAAUGGGGUGAUAUAUAUGCAGCCCCAAGUUCAGUGCCUGUGGUGAGAGGAGUCCUAAAAUAGUACCUGUGACCACGCCCCACGGUCUUAGACCUGGGCAGGGCAACUGUGCAGACAGCAGGCCCAGCCAGGAAGCAAGCUGGCAAGGCGUUCUGCAGCGAAGGUGAGUACCAGUGAUGCAAGGUGGAAUAAGAAAAGUGCCCUUUGGAGGAGUCACUUAUGAGGGGAAUGGGGAGCAGGGCAGCAGAGGCCCCUCUGCUGCUGGGAACCGGGCGCACUCCCGCCAGUCGCAGGAGCUGGCUCCACCCGCCCCUUCUGAUCCAGUGUCCCGCAGUCCUGCCCGCUUCACCGCCCUCGCCUAGCCCCCGCGGGUGGUAAAAGUCCAGCCCGGCGGAGCGCCCCUGCCUCCUUCCACGCCCCUGGCCUGCCCUGCGCAGCUACGCCCAGCCCGCGUCCAUCCCGGACCAUCCUGUUGAAGGCAGUCCCCUGGCACGCAGGGCUGGGAGCUCUUAGCUGAGGAUGGAACCGACUGCACCAGGAGCCGCUGGGAGGAAGGCCGAGGGGCGCAGAGGAGAGGCAAGGAAAAAACAGCAGCCCAAGAAUCGGGCCUCCCUGUUACAGCAGGAGUCGCAUCUAUUUAUAUAUGUUAUGUCUUAUUGCUCAGCAACCAGCUCUCGGCCGGGGCGUGGGCCGGGAAGAGGGGUCUCCUGGUGCAGCGGGUUGGCGUGACUCAUCACCGCCGCGCACUCUGGCCUCUGGGCCUAGGUUAACAGACUCCCGGGUUUCAGGCUGGGCCCAGGCGGCCAGGCCCUCCCUGCUGAGGAAUCUGGGUUGGGGCAGUGCCAGCUCCCUGCUUCUCACCUGGCCACAGAAGGGGUAGCGGGAGGAGCGUGGGUUCAUGGAGGCAGGUGGACCACCCCUUGGCUCCUGGCUCUGCCACCUGUCCACUGUGUAGCCCUGGGCGAGUCACAGCCUCUGACAUCAGCCUGCUUAUACUGUAAAAGGAGUGUGAGAUCAUGUUGGAGGAGACACUACAGUGAAAUCUAAAUACAUUUUAACUCUUCACACACCCUCUCCCAUGCAUUUGACAGCGAGGAAACUGCAGCCCGGGGCAAAGUUGACUCACUUCCCAAAGCCAACUAAUUUGUACUUAGAAGAGGCAGGAUUUGAACCGGGGCCUCUGUGGUUUAGAGCCCUGUGUAUCUUAUCACUGUAACGCCUACCUCAUGCCCUCAAAAUGCCUACCCAUCCGAGGGGUGCAGAACUUGUGGGUUCCUGGGCUCACCCGAUGGGAUUCUCUAGGGGCAGCCCCUGCAAGGGUGGGGAAAUACAGAAUUCUCUCUGGUGUCAGGGUCGUGUGUCUCAGUCAGAAAAGCCCUGCCCCGGAUGGUCUCAGGAAUGAGGUGCAGCUGCCUGCCCACCUCAGCCUGCCUUCCCUUGCUAUCAGCCGUUCACUUGAGAUGCUAACCCCCUGUUAUAUACCUGAGUCACCUAACAGGAUGUCUUCCAAGCACUGCACAGUGUCAGGUUUUGAUUACCAGCUUCCUUAUGGCUACAGAAAUCCCUUGUUUGAGUCAAUGUGGUGGAUCUAGAUCUGGCCGUGUCACUCCUCUACUCACAGCAUUUGCUUACAGGGCUAAAUUUAAACUCCAGUUUGUGGCAAGUACAGAAGGCCUCCAUCAUGUGGCCUCUGCAUCCCCAGCUCUCCUUGUCAUUGUCAUCAGCCACUCUUCUCCAGCCCCCAAAUUCUCAGGAGCUCCUUGGGCCCUCCCAUCCUGCAGGCCUGCAGGCCUCCACGCCAAGCUCUCCUAAGACGCUCCUGGCCUUACCAGGCUGGCAUGAGCCUUCCUUCUCCAACAGUGGCAGAGCACUGUGCCAGGAGGUUCUCAGAGCUUGUUACAACUCAAGGAGGCAGGUCCCACCCCCUUUUAUGGGGAAGGAAACUGAAGCUCAGGAAGGUAACCUUCCAAAGGUCACAUUCCCGCUUGCCUCAGCACCUUCCCUGCCCACUCUGUGCACAUCUCCAUUACUGCCAGGUCCUGCCCAGGUAUGGCUGUUUGUAUGUCUGUCUCUCUAGGUGACUGAUGGCCCUUCCCCUUGCAUGCGUGCUCUCCCACUACUACUAUCUAAGGACAUUUGCUGAGUAAGUGGAUGGAUGAACAGAUUAUGGACAAAACAUUUAUUUAAAAGAGCUUAAGG
rnacentral:lncRNA from 1 species